rnacentral:rRNA from 1 species
GAUGAACGCUGGCGGCGUGCCUAAUACAUGCAAGUCGAGCGAAUGGACGGGAGCUUGCUCCCUGACGUUAGCGGCGGACGGGUGAGUAACACGUGGGCCACCCGCCUGUUAGACUGGGCUAACUUCGGGAAACCGUAGCUAAUACCGGAUACAUUCUUUCUUCUCCGGAAGAAAGAUGGAAAGCUGGUUUCGGCUAUCACUUACAGCUGGGCCCGCGUCAGAUUAGGUAGUUGGUGAGGUAAAGGCUCACCAAGGCGACGAUCUGUACGCUGGUCUGAGAGGACGACCAGCCACACUGGGACUGAGACACGGCCCAGACUCCGACGGGAGGCAGCAGUGGGGAAUUUUGGACAAUGGACGCAAGUCUGAUCCAGCCAUUCCGCGUGCAGGACGAAGGCCUUCGGGUUGUAAACUGCUUUUGUACAGAACGAAAAGGUCUCUAUUAAUACUAGGGGCUCAUGACGGUACUGUAAGAAUAAGCACCGGCUAACUACGUGCCAGCAGCCGCCGUAA